AUGCAAAUCAAAGACUCAUAUUGAUUCCGCCCAAGCGAGUCACCCACAAACAUCACCGUUUUCCCUCUCAUUUUUUCCAGAAAUUCAAGCCCGUUGAACCUUGGGAGUUCACAAUUGAGAGGCUGCCAUCUAUAUUUGAGGUAAUCGGAGUCCGGCCGCCCGUACAUUUGGCAAUUGAAUUGAGGGUCAAUAAAGGGACAAUUAGAAGAUUCGUAAAGAGGGUAAGUGUCAUCCUUAACCCAAGUGCCCACAAACAAUGCACAAGUGCUCUGAUUAGCUUGCAACAUUGGUCUUCUAUUGUGCUGCUUCUUAUGGUGGUUCCUUAAGCUCAUUAUCAAAGCUGAAGAAGCAAUCUGCAUUUCUAAC
rnacentral:misc_RNA from 1 species